CAUAGGUUAAUGAGGCGAACCGGGGGAACUGAAACAUCUAAGUACCCCGAGGAAAAGAAAUCAACCGAGAUUCCCCCAGUAGCGGCGAGCGAACGGGGAGCAGCCCAGAGCCUGAAUCAGUAUGUGUGUUAGUGGAAGCGUCUGGAAAGGCGCGCGAUACAGGGUGACAGCCCCGUACACAAAAAUGCACAUGCUGUGAGCUCGAUGAGUAGGGCGGGACACGUGGUAUCCUGUCUGAAUAUGGGGGGACCAUCCUCCAAGGCUAAAUACUCCUGACUGACCGAUAGUGAACCAGUACCGUGAGGGAAAGGCGAAAAGAACCCCGGCGAGGGGAGUGAAAAAGAACCUGAAACCGUGUACGUACAAGCAGUGGG
rnacentral:rRNA from 1 species